GAUGAACGCUAGCGAUAGGCUUAACACAUGCAAGUCGAGGGGCAGCACAAGGUAGCUUGCUAUCUGGGUGGCGACCGGCGCACGGGUGCGUAACGCGUAUGCAUCUUGCCCUAUACAGGAGGAUAACCCGUCGAAAGACGGACUAAUACUGCGUAUGCUCACAACUUGGCAUCAAGUGGUGAGGAAAGAAAUUCGGUAUAGGAUAGGCAUGCGUCCCAUUAGCUUGUUGGUGAGGUAACGGCUCACCAAGGCAACGAUGGGUAGGGGAACUGAGAGGUUUAUCCCCCACACUGGUACUGAGACACGGACCAGACGCCUACGGGAGGCAGCAGUGAGGAAUAGUGGUCAAUGGGCGCGAGCCUGAACCAGCCAAGUCGCGUGAAGGAUGACUGUCUUAUGGAUUGUAAACUUCUUUUAUACGGGAAGAACAAGAGUCACGUGUGACUCCCUGCAUGUACCGUAUGAAUAAGCAUCGGCUAACUCCGUG
rnacentral:rRNA from 1 species